GUGUUGUGUGUUAAGGGCACACGGUGGAUGCCUUGGCAUGAUGAGCUGAUGAAGGACGUGGGAGACUGCGAAAUGCCUCGGGGAGUUGUCAACCAAGCGUUGAUCCGAGGGUGUCCGAAUGGGGAAACCCGGCCGUCGUUGUGGGCGGUCACCUGCCGGUGAAUGUAUAGUCGGUGUGGGAGUGACGCGGGGAAGUGAAACAUCUCAGUACCCGCAGGAGAAGAAAACAAUUGUGAUUCCGUGGGUAGUGGCGAACGACAGCGGAUGAUGGCUAAACCGGUGCUGUGUGAUACCUGUCAGGGGUUGCGGUGUCGGUGUUGUGGGGUCUUGCAGGACUGGUCUGACAGCUGGUCGCCUGUCGCAUGCGUGUUAGCGGAAGUGGUCUGGGAUGGCCUGCCGUAGACGGUGAGAGUCCGGUACGUGAAAGCAUGUGUGUGCGGGUGUGUGAGUGUCCCCGAGUAGCAGCGGGCUCGUGGAAUCUGCUGUGAAUCUGCCGGGACCACCCGGUAAGCCUGAAUACUCAUUGUGACCGAUAGCGGAUAGUACCGUGAGGGAAUGGUGAAAAGUACCCCGGGAGGGGAGUGAAAUAGUACCUGAAACCGUGCGCCUACAAUCCGUCAGAGCCUUUCGGGGUGAUGGCGUGCCUUUUGAAGAAUGAGCCUGCGAGUCAGCGGCACGUCGCGAGGUUAACCCGUGUGGGGUAGUCGUAGCGAAAGCGAAUACUAAC
rnacentral:rRNA from 1 species